UGUCCAGACUCCUACGGGAGGCAGCAGUGGGGAAUAUUGCACAAUGGGGGAAACCCUGAUGCAGCGACGCCGCGUGAGCGAUGAAGUAUUUCGGUAUGUAAAGCUCUAUCAGCAGGGAAGAAAAUGACGGUACCUGACUAAGAAGCCCCGGCUAACUACGUGCCAGCAGCCGCGGUAAUACGUAGGGGGCAAGCGUUAUCCGGAUUUACUGGGUGUAAAGGGAGCGUAGACGGCUGUGCAAGCCAGAUGUGAAAGCCCGGGGCUCAACCCCGGGACUGCAUUUGGAACUGUGCAGCUGGAGUGCAGGAGAGGUAAGCGGAAUUCCUAGUGUAGCGGUGAAAUGCGUAGAUAUUAGGAGGAACACCAGUGGCGAAGGCGGCCUGCUGGGCUUUUACUGACGCUGAGGCUCGAAAGCGUGGGUAGCAAACAGGAUUAGAUACCCGAGUAU
rnacentral:rRNA from 1 species